rnacentral:rRNA from 1 species
GACGAACGCUGGCGGCGUGCUUAACACAUGCAAGUCGAACGGUGAAGCGCCUUCCUUUUUGGUGGGUGUGGAUGAGUGGCGAACGGGUGAGUAACACGUGAGUAACCUGCCCCCUUCUUCUGGAUAACCGCAUGAAAGUGUGGCUAAUACGGGAUAUUCUGGGUCUGUCGCAUGAUGGGUCUGGGAAAGAUAUUGUUUCGGUGGGGGAUGGGCUCGCGGCCUAUCAGCUUGUUGGUGGGGUGAUGGCCUACCAAGGCGGUGACGGGUAGCCGGCCUGAGAGGGUGGACGGUCACACUGGGACUGAGCCACGGCCCAGACUCCUACGGGAGGCAGCAGUGGGGAAUAGUGCACAAUGGGCGCAAGCCUGAUGCAGCGACGCCGCGUGAGGGAUGGAGGCCUUCGGGUUGUGAACCUCUUUCGCCAGUGAAGCAGGCCUGCCUCGUUUGUGGGUGGGUUGACGGUAGCUGGAGAAGAAGCGCCGGCUAACUACGUG